rnacentral:rRNA from 1 species
CCUACGGGAGGCAGCAGUGGGGAAUUUUGGACAAUGGGCGCAAGCCUGAUCCAGCAAUGCCGCGUGCAGGAUGAAGGCCUUCGGGUUGUAAACUGCUUUUGUACGGAACGAAACGGUCUGCUCUAAUACAGUGGGCUAAUGACGGUACCGUAAGAAUAAGCACCGGCUAACUACGUGCCAGCAGCCGCGGUAAUACGUAGGGUGCGAGCGUUAAUCGGAAUUACUGGGCGUAAAGCGUGCGCAGGCGGUUAUAUAAGACAGAUGUGAAAUCCCCGGGCUCAACCUGGGACCUGCAUUUGUGACUGUAUAGCUAGAGUGCGGCAGAGGGGGGAUGGAAUUCCGCGUGUAGCAGUGAAAUGCGUAGAUAUGCGGAGGAACACCGAUGGCGAAGGCAAUCCCCUGGGCCUGCACUGACGCUCAUGCACGAACGACGGUGGGGAGGACGAAACGAAGGAGUUAGUAUACCGUACGGUAGUACCGACCGACCCGUAACCGACUGUCACUGGUUGGUUGGGUUCGUUCUAC